UUUUUUUUUUUUUUUGUUUGUUUGUUUUGAGACAGGGUUUCUCUUUAUAGCUCUGGCGUGCGCCACCACUCCCGGCUAUCCCCUCAGUUCUUUAGCCAUCUUCAUUGUAUAUUGGGCUGCUGUGAGUCUAGACCUUAAUAAGUUGGCUCCUAGGACACAUGUUAUGUAAGAGAAAACUUCUAGAUAGCUGAAAAAUUUGAAAUCCAGGAAGCCAGCACUACCACCAGCAUGGUGCCGUAGAAUGGUUUAGGUCUUGCUUUAGCCUCUUUCUAGCGCAGUGAUCUUAGGCAAAUUAUUUAGCAUCUCUGUUUCAGUUUCUUUAAUUAUAAAAUGAAAAUCAUCACAAUACUUACCUUGCCUUAUUAUUCCCUUUGUUGUUGUUGUCAUCAUUGUUUCCUCCUCCUCCCCCUUACCCCCUUCUCCUCCUCCUCUUCCUCCUUCACCACCAUCAUCAUCAUCAUUUCAUUUACGUAGAAGAAAGUUUCAUGUGACCCAGGCUGGCCUCCAGUGCUUAUAUAGUUAAGGAUGGCCUUGUACUCCUGAUUCUCCACCUUGCAAGCAAGUAAGUGCUAGGAUUUCAGGUGUGCACCACAAAGUGUAAAUCCUUUUCACUCUAAAAUUUUUACUUAACUAGUUUUUUAUCUGUGUGCUCAUGCAUUUGCCCUAGGAUGUGAGACAGGUCCAGGGAGGUCAGAGGACAAUUUGGGGAGUCAUUUCUGUCCUUCCACCUCAGGUUCAAGGAAUUAAAGGUCUUGCUCAGUAAGAGCCUUUACCAGCUAGGCUGGCCUUCCUUUCUUUGUUUUUGAAAGGACUGAAGGAGAGCCAUCCACUGUAGUAGUACAUAUUUCUUUAAUAAACACUAAGCUGUCGGGGCUCCUGUGUCCAUGAGAGUAAUACACAAGAGUGGCAAUGCCGACAGCCUAGAGCCAUCCUCAAUGAAUGGAUCUCGGCUCCUGGAGCUGAUGCUUCAUUACAUAGAAAUUGUUGGCACGGGGUGGGGGUGGGGUGUAUAUAGUGCUGAGUUUUCAGAAAGGGUUUAAUGAGUUUGAUGUGCAUUAAGAAGGGGAAUAUUGCAAUACUUGCUUGGUUGAAUUGCCAGGUAUUAUCAGUAGUCCUGGUUGAUAAAGACUUGAGGGGCUGCAGACUGAGUCAGAGAGGCGCUCCUGUAGGGACUGGGAUAGCAUGCUACUUUUUCACUGAGAAACAAGAGCAUGCGCAGACAGUACUCAUCCAUCUCUCAGUCAGGACAUCUGUCUGUGUAUUACCUAAGCAGUUAGGCCCACCAUGAAGGGGGGGGGCGUUAGAAUGGAGAAGAAAAAGGGCUGAAGAAGUUUGCAGAGAAAACCCCAACAGUUUUUCAAAGCAGACUUAGUAGCCAGUUCCUAAGCCCUGUGCUCUUGUCUUCUAGAAACAAAACCCAAUGUCUGAAGCUGAAGCUGAAAUAAGAAGCUGGAUAUGUUCCAGGGAAACCCAGCAGUCGGGCUUCCGAGUCUCAGAUUCGAAAGGGGAAAAAAAAAUCCAUUUUGCAAAGUAACUUCUUACAUUGAUUGCUAGCUGUCAGUGUUUGACAGGCAGACCCUGAAGCAUUAACUGAUUGAAUUCUUCAGUCCUGCAUGGUUAUAAUGGUGGCCUCCCUCUGCUGCUCUGUGCUUCUAAAUUCGUGUGUGGAUACAGGAGACACGCGCUCAGUGAGGAGGGGAGAGCAGAGUAGAGUAGAAUGCUUUGGCAUCAUCGGCUUGUUCUUUCCUAAAGAGAACUGUAGAAAGAGGUAGCAUUUUAGUUGAAAUAUUGUUUAUUGAUUGCUUAUGUUUUAUAGCAGCUAAUAAAUUGUCCAGCUCCUGACACCCCGCCUUCCCUGACCCCUGUGCCCAAUCCUCCCAUUCUAGACAUAGUGGGUCCACAGACACACUGUGGGAUAGUGGUUGAUGCUAUCAUUCUUUCUCACAGCCCUGCAUCCUAUCUCUUUCCCUUUGGCACUGGGGACUGCCUUAUUUCUUUUCCUGUCUUCCAUAAACUACUUCGAGGGCAAAGUAACUUAAGAGAGAAAGGGUUUAUUAUGCCCAUGGUUCAAGGGCAUAGUCUAUCAUAGCAGGGAAGCAAUGGCAUCGGGAGUUAGAGGCAGCUGCUCACAUCACAUUUACAAUUAAAAAAAAAAAAGCAGACAGUGAUGAAUGCCAGCUGCUGUUCAGCUGCCUUUCUCCAGCACAGCCCAGGGGCCCAGCCAUGGGCUGUGCCACCCACAGUGAGCAGAUCUUCUCAUCCCUGUUAAUGCCAUCACGCCAACCCCACAGGCUUCCUGUCUCCUAGGUGAUGCUGCAUCCUGUCAGGUUGGCAGUUGACACUAACCACCUCGGGACAGCCACGGUUUGUGCUUCCCUUGAGAGUGAGAGAAUCGUCUAACUCUCCCACUGAACUGUCUUUGACUGCUUUGUUUUUAAACCUAGGAGUUCCCAGCUCCACAGCUCUGGUUUCAGGGAGCAGUGGACCCCUCUGUUUGGUGGGUACUUAGGUACUUAGCAUCCUGCCUUCCACUCUGCACUCACAUGCCUCUAGGCUAAUGACCUCCUGCGGAUGUGGGUGGCAAGCAUUGGUUGAAAUCAAGCUCUUUAGAGAGAUGCAGAAACAGGGUUCUGGAAGGUAGGGGGUAUUCAGCUCAUCUGUGGCAGGGUACCACAUGUAUGCAGUGCUGGCUGGUCUUUGGCUGAUGGAAUGAGUGUGCUGGAGAAAAAGAGAUGAGGUAGAGGAGGGACCGUCAACCAAGACUUGGGAUUUCAUCUAAGACAAAAGGAAGAAAUUAAAAGCGUGGUGAAGAUGAGGUAUUUUCCAAGAGUAGCCCUUUACUUUCUAUUGAACUCAAGGAACAAUGUGUAUUCAUUCAUUGGUAGGCAAUUUAGGGUAAUGGAGUGUGGACAAUUUCUGAUUUCACCUCCUUGCCUCCUGUGGUCAGCGCUGCCUUUUGUUGUU
rnacentral:lncRNA from 1 species